UAGGGAAUCUUCCACAAUGGACGAAAGUCUGAUGGAGCAACGCCGCGUGAGUGAAGAAGGGUUUCGGCUCGUAAAGCUCUGUUGUUAAAGAAGAACAUAUCUGAGAGUAACUGUUCAGGUAUUGACGGUAUUUAACCAGAAAGCCACGGCUAACUACGUGCCCG
rnacentral:rRNA from 1 species